CCUACGUGAGGCAGCAGUGGGGGAUAUUGCACAAUGGGGGGAACCCUGAUGCAGCGACGCCGCGUGGGUGAAGAAGCGCCUCGGCGCGUAAAGCCCUGUCAGCAGGGAAGUAAAUGACGGUACCUGAAGAAGAAGCCCCGGCUAACUACGUGCCAGCAGCCGCGGUAAUACGUAGGGGGCAAGCGUUAUCCGGAUUUACUGGGUGUAAAGGGGGCGCAGACGGCGAUGCAAGCCAGGAGUGAAAGCCCGGGGCCCAACCCCGGGACUGCUUUGGAAACUGUGUUGCUGGAGUGCAGGAGGGGUAAGCGGAAUGCGUAGUGUAGCGGUGAAAUGCGUAGAUAUUAGGAGGAACACCGGUGGCGAAGGCGGCUUACUGGACUGUAACUGACGUUGAGGCUCGAAGGCGUGGGGAGCAAACAGGAUUAGAUACCCCAGUAGUC
rnacentral:rRNA from 1 species